CCAACGCGAAAAACCUUACCUACCCUUGACAUGUACGGAAGCCGCUGAGAGGCGGGUGUGCCCGAAAGGGAGCCGUAACACAGGUGCUGCAUGGCUGUCGUCAGCUCGUGUCGUGAGAUGUUGGGUUAAGUCCCGCAACGAGCGCAACCCUUGCCAUUAGUUUGCUACAUUCAGUUGAGCACUCUAAUGGGACUGCCGGUGACAAACCGGAGGAAGGUGGGGAUGACGUCAAGUCCUCAUGGCCCUUAUGGGUAGGGCUACACACGUCAUACAAUGGUCGGUACAGAGGGUUGCCAACCCGCAAGGGGGAGCCAAUCCCAGAAAGCCGAUCGUAGUCCGGAUUGGAGUCUGCAACUCGACUCCAUGAAGUCGGAANCUCUUUUUUUCGCAGNUCNGCAUGCANNGGAGAANNCGUUNNCUGNCAUUGUACNCNCCANCCGUCNCANNANGGGAGUGGGGUUCACCAGAAGCACGNCAUCGCGGCCGCGGGAAUUCGAUUAGAGUUUGAUCAUGGCUCAGGAAGUAAAAGUCGUAACAAGGUAACC
rnacentral:rRNA from 1 species